rnacentral:rRNA from 1 species
UACGGAGGAUCCAAGCGUUAUCCGGAAUCAUUGGGUUUAAAGGGUCCGUAGGCGGGCCUGUAAGUCAGUGGUGAAAUCCGGCGGCUUAACCGUCGAACUGCCAUUGAUACUGCAGGCCUUGAAUUAUUGGGAAGUAACUAGAAUAUGUAGUGUAGCGGUGAAAUGCUUAGAUAUUACAUGGAAUACCGAUUGCGAAGGCAGGUUACUAUCAAUACAUUGACGCUGAUGGACGAAAAGCGUGGGGGAGCGAACAGG